UAAUACUAAACUAAUACUAUUUAUAAUACAGUACUUGCUUUUUCAGGUGGAGAGGCAUAUUAGAGCUGAGUGAGAGCCCAUAACAUUAUACAGCAGUGUCGUCUUGAUUUAAUUGGGAGUUGAGCAACUUUUCCAUAAACAAAAUUCUGAUGCUGACACAGAGGAUGGAGUGAUAAUACCAGAGAUCAACUGUCUCCAUCAGACAAUAAUGUUACUUUGUUCAGACAUAUCACCUUUGAAUGACUGGGAUCCUGAUCUUCAGACACCUGAUGUAUUUUAUUUUAAUAUUAUAAAAUAGCAAAUAUUUUAAUUUCUUUGGAGCUCUAGAUUAAAACAAACACAGUUUACAAGUACACAAGAGGUUGCAGUUUAUUCUUAUUAGUCUAUGCUGAUCAUGGAUUAGCAUACCAACAGCAUAUGAAUGGGAUAGUUCACCCAAAAAUAAAAUUCUCACUUAUUUUACUCACCCUCA